rnacentral:rRNA from 1 species
UACAGAGGUCUCAAGCGUUGUUCGGAUUCAUUGGGCGUAAAGGGUGCGUAGGCGGCGCGGUAAGUCGGGUGUGAAGUCUCGGAGCUUAACUCCGAAACUGCAUUCGAUACUGCCGUGCUUGAGGACUGGAGAGGAGACUGGAAUUUACGGUGUAGCGGUGAAAUGCGUAGAUAUCGUAAGGAAGACCAGUGGCGAAGGCGGGUCUCUGGACAGUUCCUGACGCUGAGGCACGAAGGUCAGGGGAGCAAAACGGG